CGGGUAGUGGCGCAGCUUGGUAGCGCGCCUCGUUCGGGACGAGGAGGUCGUGGGUUCAAAUCCCGCCUACCCGA
rnacentral:tRNA from 2 species